rnacentral:rRNA from 1 species
UCCUACGGGAGGCAGCAGUAGGGAAUUUUCGUCAAUGGGCGCAAGCCUGAACGAGCAAUGCCGCGUGAACGAGGAAGGUCUUCGGAUCGUAAAGUUCUGUUGAAGGGGAAAAAGAGCGGAGAGAGGAAAUGGUCUCCGAUUGAUAGUACCCUUCGAGGAAGUCACGGCUAACUACGUGCCAGCAGCCGCGGUAAUACGUAGGUGGCGAGCGUUAUCCGGAAUGAUUGGGCGUAAAGGGUGCGUAGGCGGCUUGCUAAGUCUGGAGUGAAAGGUACCGGCUCAACCGGUACAGGCUCUGGAAACUG